rnacentral:rRNA from 1 species
GACGAACGCUGGCGGCGUGCUUAACACAUGCAAGUCGAACGGAAAGGCCCUGCUUUUGUGGGGUGCUCGAGUGGCGAACGGGUGAGUAACACGUGAGUAACCUGCCCUUGACUUUGGGAUAACUUCAGGAAACUGGGGCUAAUACCGGAUAGGAGCUCCUGCUGCAGGGUGGGGGUUGGAAAGUUUCGGCGGUUGGGGUUGGACUCGCGGCUUAUCAGCUUGUGGGGGGGGUAGUGGCUUACCAAGGCUUUGACGGGUGGCGGGCCUGAGAGGGUGCCCGGCCACAUUGGGCCUGAGAUACGGCCCAGCCUCCUCCGGGAGGCAGCAGUGGGGAAUAUUGCACAAUGGGCGGAAGCCUGAUGAAGCAACGCCGCGUGCGGGAUGACGGCCUUCGGGUUGUAACCCGCUUUCGCCUGUGACGAAGCGUGAGUGACGGUAAUGGGUAAAGAAGCACCGGCUAACUACGUG